rnacentral:rRNA from 1 species
AGUGAACGCUGGCGGUAGGCCUAACACAUGCAAGUCGAACGGCAGCACAGUAAGAGCUUGCUCUUACGGGUGGCGAGUAGCGGACGGGUGAGGAAUACAUCGGAAUCUACUUUUUCGUGGGGGAUAACGUAGGGAAACUUACGCUAAUACCGCAUACGACCUACGGGUGAAAGCAGGGGAUCUUCGGACCUUGCGCGAUUGAAUGAGCCGAUGUCGGAUUAGCUAGUUGGCGGGGUAAAGGCCCACCAAGGCGACGAUCCGUAGCUGGUCUGAGAGGAUGAUCAGCCACACUGGAACUGAGACACGGUCCAGACUCCUACGGGAGGCAGCAGUGGGGAAUAUUGGACAAUGGGCGCAAGCCUGAUCCAGCCAUACCGCGUGGGUGAAGAAGGCCUUCGGGUUGUAAAGCCCUUUUGUUGGGAAAGAAAAGCAGCAGGUUAAUACCCCGCUAUUCUGACGGUACCCAAAGAAUAAGCACCGGCUAACUUCGUG